rnacentral:lncRNA from 1 species
CUACCCAGUGGAAGAGGCCGACUCUGACGAUUAGUCAGUUUUUGUUUUCCUUUUUGCUUUUGCUCCAGCUUGUAUCCGGGCUUCGGCCCAUCUUUGUAAAGCCUAUUUUGAUCUUUAAUGAAAUCAGAGUCUUGGACUUAAACUUCUUCCCUCUGCCUGUUUUUCUUUUUCAUGUGUUGUAGAAUGCAUCCGAACGCGUA